CCCUUAGAUGUCCUGGGCCGCACGCGCGUUACACUGAUGCAUUCAACGAGCUUAUAACCUUGGCCGAGAGGCCUGGGCAAUCUUAUUAACGUGCAUCGUGAUAGGGAUAGAUUAUUGAAAUUAUUAAUCUUGAACGAGGAAUUCCUAGUAAACGCAGAUCAUCAAUCUGCAUUGAUUACGUCCCUGCCCUUUGUACACACCGCCCGUCGCACCUACCGAUUGGAUGGUCCGGUGAAGCCUCGGGAUUGUGGUUCUUGCCGCUUUAUUGUAGCGUGACCGCGAGAACUUGUCUAAACCUUAUCAUCUAGAGGAAGGUGAAGUCGUAACA
rnacentral:rRNA from 1 species